UUCGGAAAUGCAGACGGCGGCCGUCUCCCUCCCGUCCGAACCAACUGCAGGACUUCUCACUACGGCUGGGUAUUUUCAAAAACUGCCCUGGAGGGCCUGAGAUUUGUUUUCGUAAACCAACGAUUUAUCAAUCAGGCCCUUAUACAUCCAGUGGUUAAAACUCAUAAUAAUAAAGCACGUCAGUUGUACACCGGCAUCCCAUAUGGGCUCUGGUUCGAGUCACGGCUGCUCCACUUCUGAUCCAGCUCUCUGCUAACGGCCUGGGAAAGCAGUGGAAGAUGGCCCAAGUCUUUGGGCCCAUGUACCAACGUGGGAACCCAGAAGUUCCUGGCUCCUGGCUUCGGAUCAGCCCAGCUCCAGCUGUUGUGGCCAUUUGGGGAGUGAACCAGCAGAUGUAGGACCUUUUUCUGUCUCUCCCUGUCUGUAACUCUGCCUCUCAAAUAAAUAUUUUUUUAAAAAGCCAAUAA